GAGUUUGAUCUUGGCUCAGAACGAACGCUGGCGGCGUGGAUAAGACAUGCAAGUCGAACGGGAGAAUUGCUAGCUUGCUAAUAAUUCUCUAGUGGCGCACGGGUGAGUAACACGUGAGUAACCUGCCCCCGAGAGCGGGAUAGCCCUGGGAAACUGGGAUUAAUACCGCAUAGUAUCGAAAGAUUAAAGCAGCAAUGCGCUUGGGGAUGGGCUCGCGGCCUAUUAGUUAGUUGGUGAGGUAACGGCUCACCAAGGCGAUGACGGGUAGCCGGUCUGGAGAGGAUGUCCGGCCACACUGGGAACUGAGACACGGUCCAGACACCUACGGGUGGCAGCAGUCGAGAAUCAUUCACAAUGGGGGAAACCCUGAUGGUGCGACGCCGCGU
rnacentral:rRNA from 1 species